rnacentral:rRNA from 1 species
GACAGAGGAAGGAUUGACAGAUUGAUAGCUCUUUCUUGAUUCUUUGGGUGGUGGUGCAUGGCCGUUCUUUGUUGGUGGAGUGAUUUGUCUGGUUAAUUCCGUUAACGAACGAGACCUUAACCUGCUAAAUAGGAUACAGGAAUAAGUUUUUUACUGUCCUGUGAUCGCUUCUUAGAGGGACUUUGCGGUUAUAAAUCGCAAGGAAGUUUAAGGCAAUAACAGGUCUGUGAUGCCCUUAGAUGUCCUGGGCUGCACGCGCGCUACACUGAUGCGUUCAUCGAGUUUAUCCUUGACCGAGAGGUCUGGGUAAUCUUUAGUACGCAUCGUGAUGGGGAUCGAUUAUUGCAAUUAUUAAUCGUGAACGAGGAAUGCCUAGUAUGCGCAAGUCAUCAGCUUGUGCAGAUUAC